GGGUCUGCGUCUCAUUAGCUUGUUGGCGGGGUAACGGCCCACCAAGGCAACGAUGGGUAGCCGAUUUGAGAGGAUGAUCGGCCACACUGGAACUGAAACACGGUCCAGACUCCUACGGGAGGCAGCAGUGGGGAAUAUUGCGCAAUGGGCGAAAGCCUGACGCAGCGACGCCGCGUGAGGGAUGAAGGUUUUCGGAUCGUAAACCUCUGUCAGAAGGGAAGAAACUACAUUGUGCUAAUCAGCAGUGUACUGACGGUACCUUCAAAGGAAGCACCGGCUAACUCCGUGCCAGCAGCCGCGGUAAUACGGAGGGUGCAAGCGUUAAUCGGAAUUACUGGGCGUAAAGCGCACGUAGGCUGUAGUGUAAGUCAGGGGUGAAAUCCCACGGCUCAACCGUGGAACUGCCUUUGAUACUGCACAACUUGAAUCCGGGAGAGGGUGGCGGAAUUCCAGGUGUAGGAGUGAAAUCCGUAGAUAUCUGGAGGAACAUCAGUGGCGAA
rnacentral:rRNA from 1 species